rnacentral:misc_RNA from 1 species
CAGAGUUAUCCAACUCCCAAACCCAUGUGAACUUAUCUCUUUGUUGCCUCGGCGCAAGCUACCCGGGACCUCGCGCCCCGGGCGGCCCGCCGGCGGACAACACCAAAACUCUUGUUAUCCUUCGUUGAUUAUCUGAGCUGUCUUAUUUAAUAAGUCA